rnacentral:tRNA from 1 species
GUCGAAUGGUAACGCAGCAGACUACAGCGAUAAUGGUCGGUGGUUCGAACCCAGGU